AUUAAGUUGAGCGGGUCUGCAUCGUUAUUUUGACAAAGUUUGCGACCAGUGGUAAUUUUUUGAAACCUCAUCUAGAUUUAAGAAGAUUCUUGGCUUGACAACAGCUCGAACCCCCUGGUUGGCAUGCACUGCAGGUAUAGUGAAUCAGCAUGUAGAUUGUUGAAGGGAAAACAUCAAGACGGGGCGAGGAAGAUGACAAAACAUGAUUACCCAGAUUAAGGAUCCCAAUGUUCUUUGGUUCAAGCUACUCAGCCUACCAUGAGAAAAUAAAAAGAUCUGUCGUGAAGAAGAGGCGGGUUAUCAACUUUCAUACUAAAGAUGGCAAGUAUUGUUUAGAU